UUGAAUCAAUCUCACGGUUCUUCUUUGUUCUUUCUACUUAUCAUAAUGUUACUGUACAUUUUUCUCUUCUUCGAUUCAGUAAAUCAAUUCUAUCAAUAUACUCAUAAGCUCAUUGUACGUUAGUGUACGUUUCUCUCUUUUGUGUUGUUAGUGUACGAUUCUACAGAUCUUUUUAUUAUAGUUGUUAAAAAAUUAGGGAUGGCAAGUUUCCGAACUUCUUCUACGCCUUCUUUUGGGAAACUAGAGAAACAAUUCGAAGAAUUCCGACAUAGUUUAGAGGAGUUUGGGAGUAUAGGAAGCGGAUAUGCAUUGUUGUGAUGGAGAUAGAUUCAGUCACUCAGACGCAUAUAUGUCAGCCUUCUUCUCGUUCAACUGUCUUUCUAAGCUGAACGAGACAUGGGGAUAUGGGUUCUCUUUUCUCCUUUCUUGUCUCUUAGCUUAUUUUAGUUUGUUGAUUGAUUUUUUAUUGCAGGAGUUUUUCAUUCAAUUUGCAAAAUCACAAGGAAGAGCAUGAGUGUUUGAAGAUUUGAUAUGUUUAUUUCACAAUGAGUUAUUAGGUUCAGCUGAAUCUGUAACUUAUACUCUAGCUCGGUCCCUACUCGUGAUCUCUCGGGGCUGCGUGGGGGUGAGUUUUGUAGGUUGCAACUCUGGCUCCUAGUGUAUCGGCAAUGCAAGAGCUACAUUUUGAAGUAUUGAUGGUUCGAGCCAUUUUUUGUACAUUAAAUAAGCGCCAUGAUUCUGCUAUGGUAUUGAUACUUCUGAUGCAUUCGGAAACAGAGGUCAUAUUUGUGUAUCAGAAAUUGCUCGAAAUUUCUCAAGGAGCAUUAGCUCUCCUGGCUGGAAAGAAACACAAUCUGCCUCGUCUUGCUGAUCUUUCAAACUGAUGAAUUCCGUGUUGUUGAACACUAAAACCCUCGUGAUCACGAUUAUGAAAGUCUCCUCGGAAGUGGGAAUAGAAGUUUUUCUAUAAGAUGGUCGAGAACAUAAUUUGAUACUAUUAUUAUUAACUAUACUUAAUGUACAACAUUGCGACACAAAGGAGUUGUUUACAGAAACAAAGGUGCGUAUCUCAAUACCAUUGCCACUUAUUUUCUUCACAAGAUGAGUUUUCUCCCUGUUUAUCUUUUGAGCAUUCCAAUGUUUCACUAGAACGAUUGGUGCAUGAUUUGGGGUCUUGAACUGUUGGGUGGCACGAAUGUUUGUCUUAUAAAUGUCUUUCCAAAAGACAUUUGAAAACAUUUCGUUGCACAACUCCUACAAUUUCUAGAAAUUCAAUUUCAUUAUAUUACAUAUAGAUAAGCUUAUUAUCAAUUUAAGUUGAUCAGGUGUUCUGGAAAAAUUACACUUUUGUAAAUUGAGUUUCGAGAUGUCUGUGCUUCAUUUACUUUGAAUUUAGAUUAUCAAUGGACGUGUAUGUGUAAGUUGUUUUUUAGUUUGAGGUAUCAUGGACAUGAGGAGAAACCCAAUUUUGAAAUAUUUAUAUGAAAGUUUGUAUAUA